rnacentral:rRNA from 1 species
AAUUGAGUGGCGAACGGGUGAGUAACACGUGGGUAACCUGCCCAAAAGAGGGGGAUAACACUUGGAAACAGGUGCUAAUACCGCAUAACCAUGAUGACCGCAUGGUCAUUAUGUAAAAGAUGGUUUCGGCUAUCACUUUUGGAUGGACCCGCGGCGUAUUAACUUGUUGGUGGGGUAACGGCCUACCAAGGUAAUGAUACGUAGCCGAACUGAGAGGUUGAUCGGCCACAUUGGGACUGAGACACGGCCCAAACUCCUACGGGAGGCAGCAGUGGGGAAUAUUGCACAAUGGGCGCAAGCCUGAUGCAGCCAUGCCGCGUGUGUGAAGAAGGCUUUCGGGUCGUAAAACUCUGUUGUUGGAGAAGAAUGGUCGGCAGAGUAACUGUUGUCGGCGUGACGGUAUCCAACCAGAAAGCCACGGCUAACUACGUGCCAGCAGCCGCGGUAAUACGUAGGUGGCAAGCGUUAUCCGGAUUUAUUGGGCGUAAAGCGCGCGCAGGCGGAUAGGUCAGUCUGUCUUAAAAGUUCGGGGCUUAACCCCGUGAUGGGAUGGAAACUGCCAAUCUAGAGUAUCGGAGAGGAAAGUGGAAUUCCUAGUGUAGCGGUGAAAUGCGUAGAUAUUAGGAAGAACACCAGUGGCGAAGGCGGCUUUCUGGACGACAACUGACGCUGAGGCGCGAAAGCCAGGGGAGCGAACGGGAUUAGAUACCCCGGUAGUCCUGGCCGUAAACGAUGGGUACUAGGUGUAGGAGGUAUCGACCCCUUCUGUGCCGGAGUUAACGCAAUAAGUACCCCGCCUGGGGAGUACGACCGCAAGGUUGAAACUCAAAGGAAUUGACGGGGGCCCGCACAAGCGGUGGAGUAUGUGGUUUAAUUCGACGCAACGCGAAGAACCUUACCAGGUCUUGACAUUGAUGGACGAAACAAGAGAUUGUUUUUCUCCUUCGGGAGCCAGAAAACAGGUGGUGCACGGCUGUCGUCAGCUCGUGUCGUGUCGUGUUGGGUUAAGUCCCGCAACGAGCGCAACCCCUAUCUUAUGUUGCCAGCACUUCGGGUGGGAACUCAUGAGAGACUGCCGCAGACAAUGCGGAGGAAGGCGGGGAUGACGUCAAGUCAUCAUGCCCCUUAUGACCUGGGCUACACACGUACUACAAUGGGCUUUAAUAGAGGGACGCGAAGCCGCGAGGUGGAGCAAACCCCAGAAACAAGCUCUCAGUUCGGAUCGUAGGCUGCAACUCGCCUACGUGAAGUCGGAAUCGCUAGUAAUCGCAGGUCAGCAUACUGCGGUGAAUACGUUCCCGGGCCUUGCACACACCGCCCGUCA